rnacentral:rRNA from 1 species
AACGAACGCUGGCGGCGUGCCUAACACAUGCAAGUCGAACGAGACCUUCGGGUCUAGUGGCGCACGGGUGCGUAACGCGUGGGAACCUGCCCUUAGGUUCGGAAUAACCCCCCGAAAGGGGUGCUAAUACCGGAUAAUGUCUUCGGACCAAAGAUUUAUCGCCUUUGGAUGGGCCCGCGUUGGAUUAGCUAGUUGGUAGGGUAAAAGCCUACCAAGGCGACGAUCCAUAGCUGGUCUGAGAGGAUGAUCAGCCACACUGGGACUGAGACACGGCCCAGACUCCUACGGGAGGCAGCAGUGGGGAAUAUUGGACAAUGGGCGAAAGCCUGAUCCAGCAAUGCCGCGUGAGUGAUGAAGGCCUUAGGGUUGUAAAGCUCUUUUACCCGGGAUGAUAAUGACAGUACCGGGAGAAUAAGCUCCGGCUAACUCCGUG